CAUGAAGCUGGAAUCGCUAGUAAUCGCAAAUCAGAAUGUUGCGGUGAAUACGUUCCCGGGUCUUGUACACACCGCCCGUCACACCAUGGGAGUCGGAUAUGCCCGAAGCCAGUGACCUAACCGCAAGGAAGGAGCUGUCGAAGGCAGGUCUGAUAACUGGGGUGAAGUCGUAACAAGGUAAC
rnacentral:rRNA from 1 species